AUUGAACGCUGGCGGCAUGCCUUACACAUGCAAGUCGAACGGCAGCACGGGAGCAAUCCUGGUGGCGAGUGGCGAACGGGUGAGUAAUAUAUCGGAACGUGCCCGGUCGUGGGGAUAACGUAGCGAAAGCUACGCUAAUACCGCAUACGAUCUACGGAUGAAAGGCGGGGGGAUCGCAAGACCUCGCGCGAUUGGAGCGGCCGAUAUCAGAUUAGGUAGUUGGUGAGGUAAAGGCUCACCAAGCCGACGAUCUGUAGCUGGUCUGAGAGGACGA
rnacentral:rRNA from 1 species